rnacentral:rRNA from 1 species
UGGGGAAUAUUGCACAAUGGGCGAAAGCCUGAUGCAGCAACGCCGCGUGAGGGACGACGGCCUUCGGGUUGUAAACCUCUUUUAGCAAGGAAGAAGCGAAAGUGACGGUACUUGCAGAAAAAGCGCCGGCUAACUACGUGCCAGCAGCCGCGGUAAUACGUAGGGCGCAAGCGUUAUCCGGAAUUAUUGGGCGUAAAGAGCUCGUAGGCGGUUUGUCGCGUCUGCUGUGAAAACCCGAGGCUCAACCUCGGGCCUGCAGUGGGUACGGGCGGACUAGAGUGCGGUAGGGGAGAUUGGAACUCCUGGUGUAGCGGUGGAAUGCGCAGAUAUCAGGAAGAACACCGAUGGCGAAGGCAGAUCUCUGGGCCCGUAACUGACGCUGAGGAGCGAAAGGGUGGGGAGCAAACAGGCUUAGAUACCCUGGUAGUCCACCCCGUAAACGUUGGGAACUAGUUGUGGGGUCCAUUCCACGGAUUCCGUGACGCAGCUAACGCAUUAAGUUCCCCGCCUGGGGAGUACGGCCGCAAGGCUAAAACUCAAAGGAA